GGCCUGGUGCCUCACUGAAGCCAACGAUAGAGGAGGUCCUCCGGACAGAACGAGAGGGAGGGAGGGAGAGAGAGAGAGAGAGAGAGAGAGAAGGAAGGAGGGAGGGAGCAUCACACAUGGACAGCAGAUCCAGGGACUGCUGCUCUCUUCCCUCAGUCUCUCAUUCUCUCUCACGCGCUGGCAGCGUCUUCCCGGGAGAUCGACUUUUAAUCUCUGGUGGAAUCCUGGGGGGAGGAGUGAGGCGUGCCCGUGGACGCUACUUCCGUGGAUACGAUGGGAGCACACCGGGGAAGAAGAGGCGCAGGAGGUUUGUUUACAACUUCAAACAUUGACUGAGGACCUUGAGCUGAACAUCUGGAACGUGCUGUCGCAGAGCCCGACUCCGCCUGCCAACUCCCUGACUCGUCUCCCAGACUCCUCUUCCCUGACUCUUCUUCCCUGACUCAACUUUCCCAACUCUCCUUCCCUGACUCUACUCCUCCCAUUCUUAUUCCCUGACUCUUGUUCCCUAACUCUUCUUCCCUGACUCUACUUCCCAUUAUUAACUGCACUCGUGUGACUCGCAGACUCAAGGUCUCCCGGAGAUCCACAUACAACGGAAACAUAAUGACUCUGACCCCGUGCAAUCCCGCCUCGACCACCUCAUUCCUCGUUGGUCCUGUCAGAGUCUCCAAGCCCCCACCAUCCCCAGCAGAAACGAGAUCCUCCAGACAAACUCUGAAUGGCGAUCGAUACAGCUGUCUGUCACACGCUAUGACAAUUGUCGGCGAGCGUUUGGGACUGACAGUUCUGUCUGUCCAUCUGUCAUUGCAUGGCUGUGCGAGAGGAGUUGUACACAUCGAUGUGUGAGGGUCACGUACGGCACCCCGCACUCUCAGCUGUUUAGAAGGAACCAUCGUGUGCUUGCAUUGGCAAUUGAGAUGUGCUGGGGGUUCAAAUAUAGACCACAAGAGCUCAUAGUAUGAGCUGCACACAAACAGAAAGAAAGUGUCAGUGCCGAACAUGAAGAAAAAAUCACCUAAUGCUUGAUGAAGGAGUUGUGGAUCAUCGUGUAUCAUGUGUUGUUGGUAUGUAGCAGCCCUUGGUUGGAUCAUACCCUAUACGCUUCACCACACCAGGAUUACUCAUUAUGGCCUCAUUCACCCUUCGAUUAUGGACGCAUCCCACUUUGGAGACACCGCCUUUCUCUGCCCUGGGGCAGCGCGGUAAUCACCGAUCUCUGUCUGCUGCGGAUCUGGGCUCGCAGGGGAGACGAAGAAGUAGCCUCGAGCUCUUCUGACGCCAACCUGAGUGACUUAGCACCCGCUCAUUCCACACACGCUUGGCAUCCGCUAAUGUGGCGCCUCCUCAGCCCUGGUUUCGGCAGAAUGGAUCGGCCAUGUUCCCGACCAUGCUUUUUCCUGAGAACCUUCCCAAGCAGGGACUAAUGGAAGGAUCUGUGUGGCGGGACGCAUCCGUAGCAAAGCGCCACCAAGGCAUGUAGGAGGAAACGUUUUCCAGGAUCCAAUUAUACCACACUGACACUUACUUUGAUGUCUACCUCGACAUAUUUCUAUCAGCCUCGGGAUCGGGACUCCGUCUUUGAGGUUCCACAUGAGGCAACACUUAAUUUCAGCCCAGUUGUGAGACGACUUGUUGGAUAAUUUUCAUCAGCUGUGGGCAGCCUGCCCAAACUUUGAAACAGGUUUUGAAUAAAAUGCUUGAAAAUUGUGUUUUUUAAAAUUGGUCAAAAAUAGAUAAGUAGCUUUUUUUCUGCCCUUGGUGGUCCAUGUUCUGUUUGAGGAAAAAUAAAUGUCCACCUGUUACUGCUACUGUGCUGAUGUAGAGAUGAAUAGUAGCCGAUGCCCACUGCCUAAAUGAAAUAUCACACUCCAUCCACACAGUUAUUAACCGCACACACCCUUGCAGCAAACAACAAUAAGCUCAACAUUCUCAGCUCUCUCUCUCUCUCUCUCUCACACACACCAAUUCAAAGGAGUCAUCAAGACUCCCCCUCCCUGAAAUAAGCAGAGCCAAAUGCAAAAUAAAGCAUUUUUAACAAAGUUAAA